rnacentral:rRNA from 1 species
GGAAACUGCCUGAUGGAGGGGGAUAACUACUGGAAACGGUAGCUAAUACCGCAUAACGUCGCAAGACCAAAGAGGGGGACCUUCGGGCCUCUUGCCAUCAGAUGUGCCCAGAUGGGAUUAGCUAGUAGGUGGGGUAAUGGCUCACCUAGGCGACGAUCCCUAGCUGGUCUGAGAGGAUGACCAGCCACACUGGAACUGAGACACGGUCCAGACUCCUACGGGAGGCAGCAGUGGGGAAUAUUGCACAAUGGGCGCAAGCCUGAUGCAGCCAUGCCGCGUGUGUGAAGAAGGCCUUCGGGUUGUAAAGCACUUUCAGCGAGGAGGAAGGUGGUGAGCUUAAUACGUUCAUCAAUUGACGUUACUCGCAGAAGAAGCACCGGCUAACUCCGUGCCAGCAGCCGCGGUAAUACGGAGGGUGCAAGCGUUAAUCGGAAUUACUGGGCGUAAAGCGCACGCAGGCGGUUUGUUAAGUCAGAUGUGAAAUCCCCGGGCUCAACCUGGGAACUGCAUUUGAAACUGGCAAG